rnacentral:rRNA from 1 species
AGUGAACGCUGGCGGUAGGCCUAACACAUGCAAGUCGAACGGCAGCACAGUAAGAGCUUGCUCUUACGGGUGGCGAGUGGCGGACGGGUGAGGAAUACAUCGGAAUCUACUUUUUCGUGGGUGAUAACGUAGGGAAACUUACGCUAAUACCGCAUACGACCUACGUGUGAAAGCAGGGGAUCUUCGGACCUUGCGCGAUUGAAUGAGCCGAUGUCGGAUUAGCUAGUUGGCGGGGUAAAGGCCCACCAAGGCGACGAUCCGUAGCUGGUCUGAGAGGAUGAUCAGCCACCCUGGAACUGAGACACGGUCCAGACUCCUACGGGAGGCAGCAGUGGGGAAUAUUGGACAAUGGGCGCAAGCCUGAUCCAGCCAUACCGCGUGGGUGAAGAAGGACUUCGGGUUGUAAAGCCCUUUUGUUGGGAAAGAAAAGCAGCAGGUUAAUACCCCGCUGUUAUGACGGUACCCAAAGAAUAAGCACCGGCUAACUUCGUG